rfam:Canis lupus familiaris chromosome 4, whole genome shotgun sequence.
GUGCUUGCUUCAGAAGCACAUAUACUAAAACUGAAAUGAUACAGAGAUUACCAUGGCCCCUGCGCAAGGAUGACACACAAAUUUGUGAAGCAUUCCAUAUUAAA